rfam:Mariprofundus ferrooxydans PV-1 scf_1099921033919 genomic scaffold, whole genome shotgun sequence.
GGUUGAGCCCCGCACGGUGAACCCCCGUGAACCCCGUCAGGUCCGGAAGGAAGCAGCGGCAGCGGGAUGACACGCGUUGCGGUUCAGUUUGGCCCGG